UAGCAACAUGUUAUAAAAUAUUCUUGCCACGUGGAUUGUUAAUUUCUAUUUUAUAGUUUUUAAUUUUUAAUAUUUCUAGAUGUAAUAAUCUCGGUGUUUCCAUCUCGCACAGUUCAUCAUAGCUUAAGGCUGUAUUAUGGUGCUAUUUAAUAUUUAUGAAUUAUUUUAAUGCUGAAUCAUUCUUGUAUUUGUUAAUAAUGUUAUUUAAUGUGUGGAUGUUGUAGGGUGACGGAGGUGCUCCACUGGUGUGCAGGCCUGAAGGUGGAGGCUGGACAGUAGUAGGUCUGGUAGCCUGGGGUAUCGGCUGUGCUAGUAGUGAGGUGCCAGGUGUCUAUGUCAGUGUUCCUGCCUUUGCUAACUUCAUCCGUCAACAUGUAAGAGACUAAAACGCGGUGACGACCCUGGCAGUGACUACUGGCGUCUGACUACCUUGGCAGUGACUACCAGCGUCUGAAUACCCUGGCAGUGACUACUACCGUCUGAUUACCCUGGCAGUGACUACUAGCGUCUGACUACCCUGGCAGUGACUACUAGCGUCUGAUUACCCUGGCAGUGACUACUAGCGUCUGACUACCCUGGCAGUGACUACUAGCGUCUGACUACCCUGGCAGUGACUACUAGCGUCUGACUACCCUGGCAGUGACUACUAACGUCUGAUUACCCUGGCAGUGACUACCAGCGUCUGACUACCCUGGCAGUGACUACUACCGUCUGAUUACCCUGGCAGUGACUACUAGCGUUUUGACUACCCUGGCAGUGACUACUGGCGUCUGACUACCCUGGCAGUGACUACAGGCGUCUGACUACUCUGGGAGUGACUACUGGCGUCUGACUACCUUGGCAGUGACUACCAGCGUCUGACUACCCUGGCAGUGACUACUACCGUCUGAUUACCCUGGCAGUGACUACUAUCGUCUGACUACCCUGGCAGUGACUACUGGCGUCUGACUACCCUGGCAGUGACUACUGGCGUCUGACUACCCUGGCAGUGACUACUGGCGUCUGACUACCCUGGCAGUGACUACUGGCGGUCUGACUACCCUGGCAGUGACUACUGGCGUCUGACUACCCUGGCAGUGACUACUGGCGUCUGACUACCCUGGCAGUGACUACUGGCGUCUGACUACCCUGGGAUGCAGCCUCGUCCACCAACCAUUCUCGUCAGUCUUCAUGUUAGGCUUCCUAAAUUUAUAUAAUUUUACUUAAUAUCAAUAAAAACCAUUAAUUUCGUGAUGUUCAGACCUUUGUGGAAUUUGUGUAGCAAACAUUUUAUACAAGUCUUAUUUAUCAAAACAAUUGUUGCUUUGUAGCCAAAACCGCAAAUUUUCCCUACAAAGUCGGUGAUCAUCGUACACUUGCUGGAUUACUGAGUCACUCAACACUCACUACAGAAUGAUCAUGUAAGGUCUUGGAGUGAACACUGGGAAUACAAACUUUUUUUGUAACUACGUUGCACAAUUAACAACAGUUGUUGUUUAAUAGUGUAUAAAUAAAAUUGUCUCUACA